GUGCUUGCUUUGGCAGCAUAUAUACUAAAAUUGGAAAGAUAUAGAGAAGAUUAACAUGGCCCCUGCUCAAGGAUGACACACAAAUUUGUGAAGUAUGCCAUAAUUUA